AGCCGUGUGGCGUAGUGGUUAAGUGCUUGCACUGCCACUCACACUGUCAGGAGUUCGAGCCCCCUGAUGGUCA
rnacentral:tRNA from 1 species